ACGUAGGUGUCGAGCGUUGUCCGGAUUUAUUGGGCGUAAAGAGCCCGCAGGCGGCUUGCCAAGUUCGAGGUGAAAUCUCCCGGCUCAACCGGGAGGGUGCCUCGAAAACUGGCAGGCUUGAGGCAGGGAGAGGGAUGUGGAAUUCCCGGUGGAGUGGUGAAAUGCGUAGAGAUCCGGAGGAACCCCGGUGGCGAAGGCGACUUGCUGGGCCUGAACUGACGCUCAGACGCGAAAGCAUGGGGAGCGAACGG
rnacentral:rRNA from 1 species